GGAGGGGUGUCCGAGCGGUUGAUGGAGGCGGUCUUGAAAACCGGGGUCCCUUCGGGGACCGGGGGUUCGAAUCCCACCUCCUCCG
rnacentral:tRNA from 1 species